UUCGGGGGUACUCGAGUGGCGAACGGGUGAGUAACACGUGAGCAAUCUGCCCUGCACUUCGGGAUAAGCCUGGGAAACUGGGUCUAAUACCGGAUAGGACCUUUAGACGCAUGUCUUUUGGUGGAAAGCUUUUGCGGUGUGGGAUGGGCCCGCGGCCUAUCAGCUUGUUGGUGGGGUGACGGCCUACCAAGGCGACGACGGGUAGCCGGCCUGAGAGGGUGUCCGGCCACACUGGGACUGAGAUACGGCCCAGACUUCUACGGGAGGCAGCAGUGGGGAAUAUUGCACAAUGGGCGCAAGCCUGAUGCAGCGACGCCGCGUGGGGGAUGACGGCCUUCGGGUUGUAAACCUCUUUCACCAUCGACGAANGUUCGGGUUUUCUCGGAUUGACGGUAGGUGGAGAAGAAGCACCGGCCAACUACGUGCCAGCAGCCGCGGUAAUACGUAGGGUGCGAGCGUUGUCCGGAAUUACUGGGCGUAAAGAGCUCGUAGGUGGUUUGUCGCGUUGUUCGUGAAAUCUCACGUCUUAACUGUGAGCGUGCGGGCGAUACGGGCAGACUAGAGUACUGCAGGGGAGACUGGAAUUCCUGGUGUAGCGGUGGAAUGCGCAGAUAUCAGGAGGAACACCGGUGGCGAAGGCGGGUCUCUGGGCAGUAACUGACGCUGAGGAGCGAAAGCGUGGGGAGCGAACAGGAUUAGAUACCCUGGUAGUCCACGCCGUAAACGGUGGGUACUAGGUGUGGGUUUCCUUCCUGGGAUCCGUGCCGUAGCUAACGCAUUAAGUACCCCGCCUGGGAAGUACGGCCGCAAGGCUAAAACUCUAAGGAAUUGACGGGGGCCCGCACAAGCGGCGGAGCAUGUGGAUUAAUUCGAUGCAACGCGAAGAACCUUACCUGGGUUUGACAUGCACAGGACGCGUCUAGAGAUAGGCGUUCCCUUGUGGCCUGUGUGCAGGUGGUGCAUGGCUGUCGUCAGCUCGUGUCGUGAGAUGUUGGGUUAAGUCCCGCAACGAGCGCAACCCUUGUCUCAUGUUGCCAGCGGGUAAUGCCGGGGACUCGUGAGAGACUGCCGGGGUCAACUCGGAGGAAGGUGGGGAUGACGUCAAGUCAUCAUGCCCCUUAUGUCCAGGGCUUCACACAUGCUACAAUGGCCGGUACAAAGGGCUGCGAUGCCGCAAGGUUAAGCGAAUCCUUUUAAAGCCGGUCUCAGUUCGGAUUGGGGUCUGCAACUCGACCCCAUGAAGUCGGAGUCGCUAGUAAUCGCAGAUCAGCAACGCUGCGGUGAAUACG
rnacentral:rRNA from 1 species